rnacentral:rRNA from 1 species
CGCUGGCGGCGUGCCUUAGGCAUGCAAGUCGAACGGUCUGACUUCGGUCAGACAGUGGCGGACGGGUGAGUAACGCGUGGGAAUCUACCCUUUGGUGGGGAAUAACUCGCCGAAAGGCGGGCUAAUACCGCAUAACCUCUCCGGAGUAAAGGGCAUAACUGCCCGCCGAAGGAGGAGCCUGCGUCCUAUCAGCUUGUUGGUGGGGUAACGGCCUACCAAGGCAAUGACGGGUAGCUGGUCUGAGAGGACGGUCAGCCACACUGGCACUGAGAUACGGGCCAGACUCCUACGGGAGGCAGCAGUGAGGAAUCUUGCGCAAUGGGCGAAAGCCUGACGCAGCAACGCCGCGUGGGCGAAGAAGGUCUUCGGAUCGUAAAGCCCUUUUCUCUCGGACGAGGAAGGACGGUACGGGAGGAAUAAGCGUCGGCUAACUACGUG